AAGGAUCAUUACAAAUCGUUAGGAGAAGGGGUUCUGGGCUCUGCCUAUCAACCUCUCUCUUCUUAGGUUCGAUGCAGCAAUGCAUCGUUACUUUGCGCUUGUUUUGUUUGUCAGAGUAAGUAUCACUAUUAAAGAGACAACUUUUAACAAUGGAUCUCUUGGCUCUU
rnacentral:misc_RNA from 1 species